rnacentral:rRNA from 1 species
UACAGAGGGGGCAAGCGUUAUUCGGAAUUAUUGGGCGUAAAGGGCGCGUAGGCGGCAUGGCAAGUGGAAGGUGAAAUCCCUCGGCUCAACCGGGGAACUGCGUCUGAUACUGGGUGGCUUGAAUCCGGGAGAGGGAUGCGGAAUUCCAGGUGUAGCGGUGAAAUGCGUAGAUAUCUGGAGGAACAUCGGUGGCGAAGGCGGCAUCCUGGACCGGUAUUGACGCGUGAGGCGCGAAAG